UCCAAACCGAGAGAUCCGCAGCAGAGAUAGUGAACCAUGGCGCCAUACCCUAAUUCCCAAACAACGGUCCCGGAGGAGCACCUUACUCUGCGUCAACAGCUGAGUGAGCAAGCGAUUGAAAAGAUGCACAGAGACCAUCGAUCUAUGACAGCACUGAUCAGCUCCAAAACUCCUGAGUUCCUGAGCAAGCACCUGGGGAAAGCCAGCCCUGGAGAUGAAGCGCCUCCACUCCAUGAGGCCUUUCCCGUCUUACGAGCCUGUAACGCAGGGGACUCACCAAGCGUGCCUGAGGGAUUUUUCACUCCCUACUCAUGAAAACAGAGAAAACGGCCCAAUGGAAGACUGCUUAAACUGGUUCCCGUUUCUGCAAGCAACCUGUGAUGGCUACAGGCAGGAGAGCACCCAGUGUCAACAGACAGCCUCAGUGCAGCCUGCCCUGAACAAGAAGAAGAGUUCAGCCAAGAGCGCCCCCUGGAGGGCCCUAUUGAAUGCCCCAGACUGACACUCAUCUGGCUAAUUGAUGUAGAUGGAAUGCCCAGUGACAAAUGUUCCUCAAAGCUUCUUUAGGUUCAAGUCUGCAUACGCAGGGCUCUGUAUAGUAUUGAACUACUAUGAUGGUUAUCAUUGUUAUUAAUUAUAUGUUUCAAAUGAGAUGUUAUAAUUAAUAUUUAACGGAAUCACUGAUAUUUGUGUGCAGAAUUUUCUGUUAAACAGAAAGGUUGACAACAUUAAUUUCCUUUUUUGAGGAAGCCUAAAAGCAUUGUCAUUAUUAUCUGUUUUCUACAGAUUAUCUUUGAACAUACCACACUGGUAUAAUCAUAAUCAGAUUCUUGGCAAAGGCAACUUUCAUUUUUUUAUCUCUUUUUGGAGAUUUGCAAUAUUUUCAUUUUGAAAAUAUUCAUGGUGUCUUCUAUGAAGAUGUCAUAUAUUUUGAGUAAUUGAAUUUGUCAGAGACAUUUCACCUUGAAGAAAACUUAUUUUCAUGUUUUUUAAUCACCAUUUGAUAACUGUCAUACUUGUUUGAUUUAAAACAAGAAUUUUCCUCUGGUUAAACAGGCGUUAUCUGCCAUACUCUGUUAAGAGUUAUCAAGAUGUUUAUAUUGUAUCAAUAUUUGCCAAGCCUCACAUGAUCUCCUGUGGGACAUACAAUUUCUCAUUGGUGAGAUAUGCUUUACACAAAAUAAACGUUGGUAUCAAUCACAAUUUCCUUGGUCAGAAGUCAGUUAUUAGAAUGCAAUUUGGGUUUCAUUGAAGAGAUUAGUUAGAUAGACCUUCAAUAAAAUCUCCU
ensembl:lncRNA